CCAACUCAUUGGCCAGCUCCUGCGGUUGACCUGGGAACUGUAUAAUCCAGUACUUACAGCUUCAGGCCAAACACAUUCCAGACUAAACGUUCUGCAGGCUUCACUGCACCUACUCUCACCAGCACCACCCCUCCCGCACCCCGCACCUCCCUCACCCAGCGCACCUCCCUCACCCAGCGCAGACACUCAGAGCCUUUGGGCACCUAAAGCCCUGGAGCAUGUCAGGACUUUGACCUUUCAAGGGUCAAAGUUGGGGGUUGGGGGACGGUGGGAGUGGUCCUGCAGAGACCAGCAACACCCAGAUAAUUUAAGAGCAAGGCCCCUGGAGAUGGGUAUCAUUACCUCCAGGGUUCCUUUUAGCUCAAAUCUCAAUAGCUCCUCGCAGAGCACACGCACCAAAAAAGCACAAGAAAAUGGGGAAGGGGAAGGUCAUCGCCUCCUGACAAGCAAGGGUGACAAACACUGCAGCAAGAAGAAAAUAGAGACCGAGUUGCAGGAAGACAGCAGAGAAGAAUCCGAGAGCACACACGGUCUCCUCGGGCAUUCCCUCCGUCUCCGGGUCUCCCCCAUCCCACCCCACCCCCGGGUCGCAGCGCUCCGGGGCGGUGGCCUCUGUUGAUCCCAGGCCUCUUUGGGUCCAGAAUCCAUCGCUGACUCUCACUUACCGUUUGCCCGGCUUUUUCUGCAGCGCGGGUUCGGGGCGGAGAGGACUGGCUCGGAAGGGCAGCGGCCGUUCCCUAAGGCAAGGAGCUUCUCAGGGAGAUGCUGGCCGUAGAUCCGGAAUGGGGACCCCAGCACCCGUCCAGGGAGUGCGGCAGGGCAAUUUGUUGAGAAAUAAACCUGAGACAAUUUAUGAACAAAAUCUUGAGCCUGUUGGCCUCUGGACUGGAACUCCACCAUGCGCUCUCCUGUCUGCAGCUGGCUGAUUGCAGAGCUCCAAACUCCCUGGCCUCCGCCAUCGCCUGAGCCAACUCCUUGCAAUAAAUCAAUGUCUUCUACCCCUAUCUAUACAGAUUUACCUAUCUGUAGCCCCUCACUGGGGCUUUUCUUUAUUUACCAGGCAGGCCUUGCUCCCUGUGUGUUUUCCUAAGCUUUUUUUUUCUCUCCUCACCACCCCUAAAAGCACUAUAUUGCAUAACAAAGGGACUUCUAGUGUGGGAGGGGGACAUUUUAGAACACUGAAAGUAACUCUUCACUGUAGUCUGUGAUAAAAGCCUCGAGAAAAAUAAAUCAGCUACUGGAGGGCCUUUAUGGUUGAUU